AAAACAUAUGAAAACUUUCAUAAUAAAAGAACGAAAGUAACAGUAAGAUCAUACCCAUGGUUCUGAAGAUAAUACUAAAAGACUGUAGAGAGAGAAAAGUAGUAUAGAGAGACAGAUCAAAGUAGUAUAGAAAAGAAGAGGGACGGCGACGGUGGAACAGAGGGACGAUGACGGGGAAGGGAGGCCACGACGCCGGCGAUAUCCUUGCUGGCGACGACGAGAUUUCAGAUCUGGCCUGGAGACUGGGAGCGGGCUAGGGCAAAAUACUGAUAAGAGUGAUACUACUGAUCUCAACGAGAUUUUUUAACUAAAAGAGUUCACUACUAAUCUACUACAAGAUGAGUUUGCAUACUCAAGGACUUGGGAGAAGGCACGAACUUCUGCAAGGAGAACGACGAACACGGAGAUAAAGAAUGAGAGAGCCUCAGAGAGAAAAAG
rnacentral:lncRNA from 1 species